GGCCUACGGGGCGCAGCAGUGGGGAAUAUUGCACAAUGGGGGAAACCCUGAUGCAGCGACGCCGCGUGAAGGAAGAAGGAUUUCGGUAUGUAAACUUCUAUCAGCAGGGAAGAAAAUGACGGUACCUGACUAAGAAGCCCCGGCUAACUACGUGCCAGCAGCGGCGGUAAUACGUAGGGGGCAAGCGUUAUCCGGAUUUACUGGGUGGAAAGGGAGCGUCGGCGGUGCAGCAAGUCAGAAGUGAAAGCCCGGGGCUCAACUC
rnacentral:rRNA from 1 species